AUUGAACGCUGGCGGAAUGCUUUACACAUGCAAGUCGAACGGCAGCACGGGGGCAACCCUGGUGGCGAGUGGCGAACGGGUGAGUAACACAUCGGAACGUGCCCAGUCGUGGGGGAUAACGUAGCGAAAGCUACGCUAAUACCGCAUACGAUCUACGGAUGAAAGCGGGGGAUCGCAAGACCUCGCGCGAUUGGAGCGGCCGAUGGCAGAUUAGGUAGUUGGUGGGGUAAAGGCUCACCAAGCCGACGAUCUGUAGCUGGUCUGAGAGGGCGACCAGCCACACUGGGACUGAGACGCGGCCCAGACUCCUACGGGAGGCAGCAGUGGGGAAUUUUGGACAAUGGGCGCAAGCCUGAUCCAGCCAUUCCGCGUGCAGGAUGAAGGCCCUCGGGUUGUAAACUGCUUUUGUACGGAACGAAACGGCUCUCUCUAAUACAGGGGGCUAAUGACGGUACCGUAAGAAUAAGCACCGGCUAACUACGUGCCAGCAGCCGCGGUAA
rnacentral:rRNA from 1 species